rnacentral:sRNA from 2 species
CAGAUUCCCAUUAGGGGAAGGUGAGAACCUUCGACCAAGGUUCGACAAAACCGACACGGUUUUGAGCAACGCGUAGCGUUGACCCGCAGGGCGAGGAGCGAAGCGAGGAGUUAUCCUUCCCCCACCACCA